rnacentral:rRNA from 1 species
UUGUACCCUCAAGCUUUGCUUGGUGUUGGGCGUCUUUUGUCUCCAGUUCGCUGGAGACUCGCCUUAAAGUCAUUGGCAGCCGGCCUACUGGUUUCGGAGCGCAGCACAAGUCGCGCUCUUCGCCAGCCAAGGUCAGCGUCCAGCAAGCCUUUUUUUCA